CAGCGCCACGAGUGGGGAUCCUGUUUAUUUGGCCUAAAGCGUCCGUAGCUGGUUCUGUAAAUCUUUUGUGAAAUCGUUAUGCUUAACUUAACGGCGUGCAGAAGAGACUGCAAGACUAGAGACUGGGAGGAGUUAGAGGAAUGCAGGGGGGAGCGGUAAAAUGCUAUAAUCCCCAGUAGACCACCUGUGGCGAAGGCGUCUAACUAGAACAGGUCUGACAGUGAGGGACGAAAGCCAGGGGAGCAAACCGGAUUAGAUACCCGAGUAGUCC
rnacentral:rRNA from 1 species